AAUUUGUCGGCAUCACUCUGUUGGUCCUUGCGUCACACGCGCCCAAACUAUGAUCUUUUUUUCAAUAGAGAUUUUCACCAUAAAACAAGAAAACUAGCCCGGGUGUGCUUUAAUUCCGGUAUCUCAAAAAUUCCAACCGUUGUUCCUCCCUUUGUGCAGUUAAAACUGCUGGUUUUGGCACGGUUGGGUGAGCGCGUUUGGUGACGCGAUGAAUAAACAGGUAACCCGAAAAGUGUUUAAAACAUGGAAUAUAGCGGGGUCAUUGAAGCGAAAUAACUUUUGAUUGAUAAAAAUAAAACCGAACAGGAUUAGUAUCAAACUUUCACUGGUACAUGUACCGAUGUAUACAGUGUUAUCUGUGGAUCUGCUAUACAGGCUGUGGACCAUGAUAAUCACGUGUACAAUGUGUUCAAUGAGAAGGACUGCAAGAACAGUAUGUUAUGUUCUCUAUGUAUAUACUCAAUGUAGCCCCAUGUAGAAUAGAUUGCGUGGGUGUGAAAUAUAUUUUCUUUUCUACUUUAUGUUCUACUAAGGGAUAACUGUUAAGACUGUAAUGGUAACCGAAUAAAUGACCCGUGCAUUAAU
rnacentral:sRNA from 1 species